AACGAACGCUGGCGGCAUGCCUAACACAUGCAAGUCGAACGAGACCUUCGGGUCUAGUGGCGCACGGGUGCGUAACGCGUGGGAACCUGCCCUUAGGUUCGGAAUAACUCCCCGAAAGGGGUGCUAAUACCGGAUAAUGUCUUCGGACCAAAGAUUUAUCGCCUUUGGAUGGGCCCGCGUUGGAUUAGCUAGUUGGUAGGGUAAAAGCCUACCAAGGCGACGAUCCAUAGCUGGUCUGAGAGGAUGAUCAGCCACACUGGGACUGAGACACGGCCCAGACUCCUCCGGGAGGAGGCGGUGGGGAUAAUUGGACAAUGGGCGAAGGCCUGAUCCACCAUGGCCGCUUGGGUGAGGAAGGCCUAGGGUUGUAAAGCUCUUUUACCCGGGAUGAUAAUGACAGUACCGGGAGAAUAAGCUCCGGCUAACUCCGUG
rnacentral:rRNA from 1 species